rnacentral:rRNA from 1 species
UAGCUAGUUGGUGAGGUAAAGGCUUACCAAGGCGACGAUCUGUAGCGGGUCUGAGAGGAUGAUCCGCCACACUGGAACUGAGACACGGUCCAGACUCCUACGGGAGGCAGCAGUGGGGAAUUUUGGACAAUGGGCGCAAGCCUGAUCCAGCCAUGCCGCGUGAGUGAAGAAGGCCUUCGGGUUGUAAAGCUCUUUCGGCCGGGAAGAAAUCGCGUGGGUUAAUACCCUGUGUGGAUGACGGUACCGGAAUAAGAAGCACCGGCUAACUACGUGCCAGCAGCCGCGGUAAUACGUAGGGUGCGAGCGUUAAUCGGAAUUACUGGGCGUAAAGCGUGCGCAGGCGGUUUUGUAAGACAGGCGUGAAAUCCCCGGGCUUAACCUGGGAACUGCGUUUGUGACUGCAAGACUAGAGUACGGCAGAGGGGGGUGGAAUUCCACGUGUAGCAGUGAAAUGCGUAGAGACGUGGAGGAACACCAAUGGCGAAGGCAGCCCCCUGGGUCGAUACUGACGCUCAUGCACGAAAGCGUGGGUAGCAAACAGGAUUAGAUACCCUGGUAGUCCACGCCCUAAACUAUGUCAACUAGGUGUUGGGUGGGUAAAACCAUUUAGUACCGUAGCUAACGCGUGAAGUUGACCGCCUGGGGAGUACGGCCGCAAGGUUAAAACUCAAAGGAAUUGACGGGGACCCGCACAAGCGGUGGAUGAUGUGGAUUAAUUCGAUGCAACGCGAAAAACCUUACCUACCCUUGACAUGCCAGGAACUUGCCAGAGAUGGCUUGGUGCCCGAAAGGGAGCCUGGACACAGGUGCUGCAUGGCUGUCGUCAGCUCGUGUCGUGAGAUGUUGGGUUAAGUCCCGCAACGAGCGCAACCCUUGUCGUUAAUUGCCAUCAUUUAGUUGGGCACUUUAGCGAGACUGCCGGUGACAAACCGGAGGAAGGUGGGGAUGACGUCAAGUCCUCAUGGCCCUUAUGGGUAGGGCUUCACACGUCAUACAAUGGUCGGUACAGAGGGUUGCCAACCCGCGAGGGGGAGCCAAUCCCAGAAAGCCGAUCGUAGUCCGGAUUGCAGGCUGCAACUCGCCUGCAUGAAGUCGGAAUCGCUAGUAAUCGCGGAUCAGCAUGCCGCGGUGAAUGCGUUCCCGGGUCUUGUACACACCGCCCGUCACACCAUGGGAGCGGGUUCCGCCAGAAGUAGGUAGCCUAACCGCAAGGAGGGCGCUUACCACGGCGGGGUUCGUGACUGGGGUGAAGUCGGAACAAGGUAGCCGUAGGGGAACCUGCGGCUG